UUCCUGGAAAUAUGGAUGGAACUGUUGGGAAAGAGGCUGCCUAAGACUUUCUCAUGGGAAAGAAGCUGCCUAAAAUCCAGGAUUUGGUGGAGGUGGCAAAUAAUGCUGAAACUAUCUUAUUGGCAUUUCAAAAUGAGAUCUUGAUGCUGGGAACUAGCGUAAUGAUUCCAUCAAUGCUUGUUCCAGCAAUGGGAGGAACCAAUGCAAGUUCAGAUCUUAGUUUAGAUAGCAUAUAUCCUCACUAAUUUUGUUCUUUCCAACUCUUUUUAUUCUUGACUUGUUUAGAUAUUUUUUAAUUUUUUGUGAUGAAUCACAGGGUGACAAGAUACAUGUCAUACAAACUCUGCUAUUUGUAUAUGAUGUAAAUACACUUCUAUAAGUAUUGGUUGGAACACGAUUGCCAACGGUA